rnacentral:rRNA from 1 species
GAUGAACGCUGGCGGCGUGCCUAAUACAUGCAAGUCGAGCGAACAGAUAAGGAGCUUGCUCCUUUGACGUUAGCGGCGGACGGGUGAGUAACACGUGGGUAACCUACCUAUAAGACUGGAAUAACUCCGGGAAACCGGGGCUAAUGCCGGAUAACAUUUAGAACCGCAUGGUUCUAAAGUGAAAGAUGGUUUUGCUAUCACUUAUAGAUGGACCCGCGCCGUAUUAGCUAGUUGGUAAGGUAACGGCUUACCAAGGCAACGAUACGUAGCCGACCUGAGAGGGUGAUCGGCCACACUGGAACUGAGACACGGUCCAGACUCCUACGGGAGGCAGCAGUAGGGAAUCUUCCGCAAUGGGCGAAAGCCUGACGGAGCAACGCCGCGUGAGAGAUGAAGGUCUUCGGAUCGUAAAACUCUGUUAUUAGGGAAGAACAAAUGUGUAAGUAACUGUGCACGUCUUGACGGUACCUAAUCAGAAAGCCACGGCUAACUACGUG